GCAUGCAAGUCGAGCGAGAAAGGUUUUGAAGCUUGCUUUAGAACCUGGACAGCGGCGAAAGGGAGAGUAACGCGUAGUUAUGUACCCAGGGGUUCGGAAUAGCCACGGGAAACUGUGGGUAAUGCCGAAUAACAUCUCCGGAUCAAAGGUGUGAUUCCGCCCUUGGAGCAGACUGCGUCCUACUAGCUUGUUGGCGGGGUAAUGGCCCACCAAGGCAACAAUGGGUAGCGGGUGUGAGAGCAUGACCCGUCUCACUGGGACUGAGACACUGCCCAGACACCUACGGGUGGCUGCAGUCGAGAAUCUUCGGCAAUGGGCGAAAGCCUGACCGAGCGACGCCGCGUGCGGGAUGAAGGCCCUCGGGUUGUAAACCGCUGUCGUAGGGGAGGAAGGCUCCGUGAAGAACGGGGUUUGACCUAUCCUAGGAGGAAGUACGGGCUAAGUUCGUGCCAGCAGCCGCGGUAAUACGAACCGUACAAACGUUAUUCGGAAUCACUGGGCUUAAAGGGUGCGUAGGCGGCCAUGUAAGUGAGGUGUGAAAUCCCUCGGCUUAACCGAGGAACUGCGCUUCAUACUGCGUGGCUUGAGGGAGACAGGGGUAAGCGGAACUGAUGGUGGAGCGGUGAAAUGCGUUGAUAUCAUCAGGAACACCGGUGGCGAAAGCGGCUUACUGGGUCUCUUCUGACGCUGAGGUACGAAAGCUAGGGUAGCGAACGGGAUUAGAUACCCCGGUAGUCCUAGCUGUAAACGAUGAGCACUUAUCUGGGGAUCCUCCCAUAGGUUCCCGGAUGAAGCGA
rnacentral:rRNA from 1 species